rnacentral:rRNA from 1 species
AACGAACGCUGGCGGCAUGCCUAACACAUGCAAGUCGAACGAGACCUUCGGGUCUAGUGGCGCACGGGUGCGUAACGCGUGGGAACCUGCCCUUAGGUUCGGAAUAACUCCCCGAAAGGGGUGCUAAUACCGGAUAAUGUCUUCGGACCAAAGAUUUAUCGCCUUUGGAUGGGCCCGCGUUGGAUUAGCUAGUUGGUAGGGUAAAAGCCUACCAAGGCGACGAUCCAUAGCUGGUCUGAGAGGAUGAUCAGCCACACUGGGACUGAGACACGGCCCAGACUCCUACGGGAGGCAGCAGUGGGGAGUAUUGGACGAUGGGCGAAAGCCUGAUCCAGCAAUGCCGCGUGAGUGAUGAGGGCCUUAGGGUUGUAAAGCUCUUUUACCCGGGAUGAUAAUGACAGUACCGGGAGAAUAAGCUCCGGCUAACUCCGUG